UACGAAGGGGGCUAGCGUUGCUCGGAAUCACUGGGCGUAAAGCGCACGUAGGCGGAUUCCUAAGUCGGGGGUGAAAUCCUGGAGCUCAACUCCAGAACUGCCUUCGAUACUGGGAAUCUUGAGUCCGGAAGAGGUGAGUGGAACUGCGAGUGUAGAGGUGAAAUUCGUAGAUAUUCGCAAGAACACCGGUGGCGAAGGCGGGUCUCUGGGCAACAACUGACGCUGAGGAGCGAAAGCGUAGGGAGCGAACAGG
rnacentral:rRNA from 1 species